rnacentral:rRNA from 1 species
GAAUGGAGUGGACAGAAAUGGCCUACAUUGACUGACAUAAGAAAAAAAGCGAAUAACACUGUGAUACCAGUGAUUGAAGGUGGAUUUAUCAGUCAAAAGAAAAUAGAAGA